CGUCAUGGGUUGUCCGCCCGUUCCCACAGGAACGACGGACCGAAGAGGGAAGGGGGUAGAAGCCCCCGCUGCCCCCGCAACUGUGACCGGGGAGCGCACGUUCGACACGUCACUGGGGAACCGGGCUACCGGGGAACUGGGAAGACGAACGCGGCGCGACGAUCCGGGAGCCAGGAGACCUGCCCGAUGACGGUCGUUCGUG
rnacentral:ncRNA from 21 species